CCUACGGGAGGCAGCAGUGGGGAAUAUUGCACAAUGGGGGAAACCCUGAUGCAGCGACGCCGCGUGAGCGAUGAAGUAUUUCGGUAUGUAAAGCUCUAGCAGCAGGGAAGAAAAUGACGGUACCUGACUAAGAAGCCCAGGCUAACUACGUGCCAGCAGCCGCGGUAAGACGUAGGGGGCAAGCGUUAUCCGGAUUUACUGGGUGUAAAGGGAGCGUAGACGGCUGUGCAAGCCAGAUGUGAAAGCCCGGGGCCCAGCCCCGGGACUGCUCGUGGAACUGCGUGGCUGGAGUGCAGGAGGGGCAGGCGGAAUUCCUGGUGUAGCGGUGAAAUGCGUAGAUAUCAGGAGGAACACCGGUGGCGAAGGCGGCCUGCUGGACUGCAACUGACGUUGAGGCCCGAAAGCGUGGGGAGCAAACAGGAUUAGAUACCCGUGUAGUC
rnacentral:rRNA from 1 species